UAGGGAAUCUUCGGCAAUGGACGAAAGUCUGACCGAGCAACGCCGCGUGAGUGAAGAAGGUUUUCGGAUCGUAAAACUCUGUUGUUAGAGAAGAACAAGGACGUUAGUAACUGAACGUCCCCUGACGGUAUCUAACCAGAAAGCCACGGCUAACUACGUGCCAGCAGCCGCGGUAAUACGUAGGUGGCAAGCGUUGUCCGGAUUUAUUGGGCGUAAAGCGAGCGCAGGCGGUUUCUUAAGUCUGAUGUGAAAGCCCCCGGCUCAACCGGGGAGGGUGAUUGGAAACUGGGAGACUUGGGUGCAGAAGAGGGGAGUGGAAUUCCAUGUGUAGCGGUGAAAUGCGUAGAUAUAUGGAGGAACACCAGUGGCGAAGGCGGCUCUCUGGUCUGUAACUGACGCUGAGGCUCGAAAGCGUGGGGAGCAAACAGG
rnacentral:rRNA from 1 species